CCUACGGGAGGCAGCAGUAGGGAAUUUUCGGCAAUGGGGGGAACCCUGAACGAGCAACGCCGCGUGCACGAAGACGUUAUUAGUAAUGUAAAGUUCUUUUAACAGGGAAGAAAGAGAAAUUUGACGGUACCUGAAGAAUAAGCUCCGGCUAACUACGUGCCAGCAGACGCGGUAAUACGUAGGGAGAGAGCGUUAUACGUAAUUAUUGGGCGUAAGGGGUGCGUAGAUGGCAUAGUAAGUCUUUUGUAAAAAUGCUGGGCUCAACCCAGUAGGGCAAAAGAUACUGCAAAGCUAGAGAAUGACAGAGGCAAGUGGAACUACAUGUGUAGCGGUAAAAUGCUUAAAUAUAUGUAAGAACACCAGUGGCGAAGGCAGCUUGCUGGGUCGAUACUGACAUUGAGGCACGAAAGCGUGGGGAGCAAACAGGAUUAGAUACCCCUGUAGUC
rnacentral:rRNA from 1 species